GAUGAACGCUAGCGGCAGGCUUAAUACAUGCAAGUCGAGGGGCAGCAGGGGUGUAGCAAUACACUCGCUGGCGACCGGCAAACGGGUGCGGAACACGUACGCAACCUACCCAAAACUGGGGAAUAGCCCGGGGAAACCCGGAUUAAUACCUCGUAACAUAAUGAAGUGGCAUCACUUUAUUAUUAUAGCUCCGGCGGUUUUGGAUGGGCGUGCGCCUGAUUAGGUAGUUGGCGGGGUAACGGCCCACCAAGCCUGCGAUCAGUAACUGGUGUGAGAGCACGACCAGUCACACGGGCACUGAGACACGGGCCCGACUCCUACGGGAGGCAGCAGUAAGGAAUAUUGGUCAAUGGACGCAAGUCUGAACCAGCCGUGCCGCGUGAAGGAUGAAGGUCCUCUGGAUUGUAAACUUCUUUUAUAUGGGACGAAACCUCUUUUUCUUGAGAGACUGACGGUACCAUAGGAAUAAGCACCGGCUAACUCCGUGCCAGCAGCCGCCGUAA
rnacentral:rRNA from 1 species